CCUACGGGAGGCAGCAGUGGGGAAUAUUCGGCAAUGGGCGCAAGCCUGACCCAGCAACGCCGCGUGAAGGAAGAAGGCUCUCGGGUUGUAAACUUCUUUUAUCAGGGACGAAGCAAGUGACGGUACCUGAUGAAUAAGCCACGGCUAACUACGUACCAGCAGCCGCGGUAAUACGUAGGUGGCAAGCGUUAUCCGGAUUUACUGGGUGUAAAGGGCGUGUAGGCGGGAAAGCAAGUCAUAUGUGAAAACCAUGGGCUCAACCUGUGGCCUGCAUUUGAAACUGUUUUUCUUGAGUACUGGAGAGGCAGACGGAAUUCCUAGUGUAGCGGUGAAAUGCGUAGAUAUUAGGAGGAACACCAGAGGCGAAGGCGGUCUGCUGGACAGCAACUGACGCUGAGGCGCGAAAGCGUGGGGAGCAAACAGGAUUAGAUACCCGUGUAGUC
rnacentral:rRNA from 1 species